AAAAAGUUGGGAGAAAAAUAGAAUUAAUGUGAAUUUGUUUAUUCCUCCUUUUAGAAAAGAUUCUAAAUCUUCUCACAUUUACAACAGUAUUAACAUAAAUUCUUCACAGUCAUCUUGAAAACAUUACCUUGAUUUAAGAAUCAGUAAAUAUCCUGGGAACAAAGGUAAGGGUCAGGUUCCCAGUGGAAGAUCUCUAGGACAGCAGGAAGAGUCCUUGUGCCAAGUUACUGCUACUCUGUAAAGGGAUGUGUUGGCAAUACCAGCUCACUGGCAAGUCUCUCGGAUAAAAUGGCAGGGUAGCAUUCCCAGAUACAACAUAUGACCCAUUGUAAGUCUUGUCGUAUAAACCUGAGGGACACUGAGAAAAACAGCUGCUUCUAAACAUAAGUAAAAAUUGAACUUAAUGCUGUAACCACCAUAAAUUGUAGGAUUAUUUAUGUAAAACCAUAAAUGUACGCUACGACUAAAUGAGUCAUUUACAGAAUAUCCCUUCAGUUAUUAACGUGGCAUAAAUACUAAUCCCUGAAGAUUAAGUUGAACACUAAUCACUUUGAACAUUCAAGGACCUUUUGUAAUCCCGAGUUUCGUAUUUCCAUAUGGUAAUUUCCCCUGUGAUAGCCGAGUAGGGCGGAUCAUUGCCACGUAAGCAAUAAUGCAUGACAAGGCAUGCUGUAACAAGGAAUGGGGUUUCCAUCUUUUCUCCCAGUCCCCCCGCUCCACCUUCAUUCCCAAUGUGAGCUUAAUUAAAACUCCUCAGAACUUGGCUCUGUUUAACACAAGGGCAAAACAAGCCCAGAAAUGCUGACAAGUUCUUCCACCUCUGCCUGCUGGGUCAGCUCAUUAAGGGUCAUGAUUUUAUGGCACAUGCAUGGUGGCCUGGCCACAGGUUUGGAGAAGCCUCAAACCAAGAAGCAGAAUACAACUUAGUAAACUAACAAUUUGCCUUACUUUUUAAAUGUCUUUUAAUGAUGAAUUUUAAUUUUUAAGAUAAUUCAUGCACAUAGUUUUUUAAUCAAUUUUUUUUACAAAAUGAGCAGCUGCUGUCCAACCUCCUGCUCUGAAACCAUUUCUUCUGUUUACCCAUAUGUGUAAAUAACAUGCUUAUACUGCUGUUUCCUCAUUUAUCAAUUUUGCACACCAAUAUUUUGACUAAACCAUUUCUCAAACCAUUUCUUCUAUUUACCCCAUAUUUGUAAAUAACAUGCUUAUACUGCUAUUUCCUGAUGUAUCACUUUUGCACACCAAAUUUUUGACUAACACGAUAGUAAUGGAGGAUUUAGCUGGUUAACGCACACCUCUGCCAUCUCCUCUACCCUUUUAUCCCUAUAGAACUGGAUCACAAUGUUAGAGUCGAUCACAGUAAAUAUUGCAUUAUUAUUUUAUAAUAUCGAGCUUAUGACUAUAUAAAUUAUGUUUACUGCUGAUUCAAGUAAUGUAUUACUGUGAUUGCAAUGGUCUGAAUGUUUCUGUCCCCCCAAUAUUUAUAUAUUGAAAUCUCAAUCCCCAAGGUGAUGCCAUUUGAAGGCAGGACCUUUGGGAGGUUGAUUAGUUUAUGAAUGUGGAGCCCUGGUGAAUGGGAUUGGUUCCCUUAUAAAAAAGAGACCCUGGAGAACUCCCUCACCCUUGUACCAUGUGAGGACACAGUGAGAAGAUGGCAACUAUGAACCAGGAAGCAUGUCCUCACCAGAAGCCAAGUCUGCCAGAACUGUGUGAAAUAAAUUUCUGUUAUUUAUAAGCCACCUGAUCUAUGGUAUUUUUUUGUAAAAGCCUGAAUGGAAUAAGAAAAUAAUUAUAUUGCCUUUCUCUUAAAAUUAUUUGUUUUCUCCUAGUACCUUUUUCAUUUGCCUAUAGAUUUAUCACCUUUUUAAAUAAGUGCUUCAACGCAUGUGUCACCCACACCUAUCAAUAAUUUUUCAACACCAGACUGCUCAAACACCAGACCUCUCAGAUCCAUUUCUCCUGCAAAGACAUCUUUCUGCAGCUGCCCCAUGCAAUUCCUCCAUCUCCAAUACAAACUCUCUCUAGGCCGGUGCUGAGCUAUCAUCUUGUGACUUCCUUUUGCUGUUUUCCUGGGAUGGAUCCCUAUUUCCUGGAUUUCAUGUCUUUCUUUUUCAUGGCUUACUCCUUCAUUCACUGAUUUUGCCCAGUGGCUUCAUCAGAAAGGGCACAAGUGAGGUAAAUUUUUAAAUUCAUUAUAUGUCUGAAAGUAUCUUUAUUCUACACCAGCUGCCCUGUGGCCCCUUUAUUUCUUUCCCCCAAGAUGCACCCAAGUUCUGCAAUCCCUGCCUUCUUGCUCAGCUGUUUUUGGUACCAUUUUAGGCUUCAGGGACUGGUCUUUUCAGCAUUUAAAUGUCCAUCCUAUUACCAGUUAAGGAAAUUCUUGCCUUAUUGUUAUAUACUUGCCUUUAAAAAAAAAUCCUUGGGCUUUUUCUGUACAAGGACAUGGAUUGGGAUGACAGGAGGGAGAAGGUACAAGUGAAGAACUCAGUGGCCUGAAAUCGACUCUCUUUGGACUAUGAGGACUUGGCCAUUUUCCACAACAGAGAGUGUAGAGGAAUGCUGUCUUGUGCUGCCGUGGGCCACAAGGUGUGGUGGCAGGUCUCAUAUGCUCCAACAUCUGGCCAUGAAGAAUCAUGGUUGGUCAAUCUCAGAGGGAGGAAUGAGCUGUAAACCUAUAAGAAAAUCAACACCAUUAUUUCCCUAAAGUAUCCAAAGCAAUUCUAUGUACUUCUGACAAGGAAACAGGAAGGAGAAUCUAGAGUGCUGCUCAAAUUAAAGGGAAAAGGAGAAGAAAGAUUAUUGGCUACCACCAUCUCUCUCACCCUUACCCCUUGCCUACCUCACUCUGUAGAGGCUAGAAACACAAGAUUUGCACUUCCGGCUCCUGUUGCAAAUCAGAGUAGCUGAGUGACCCACAUUUGGCCAAUGAGUACUUGUGGGGCAGGCUGCUGGGAGGCUUCUGAUGGAGCCUUCUUUUUCCAAACAAUCAGGCAGAGGCUUGGGAGGAAGCAAGCUCUUGCUCCCACCUGUCCUUCCUUUUUAGGAUGUGCUGUGAGGACCUAAUGUCUGCAACUAUCAUGUAUGAAGGUGACAAAGAGCCCAAAUGCGGCUGAAGGAGUGGAGAAUGGGAAUGACCUCGAUGAGCUGCACCAGCAAUCCUGAGAUCACACAUCUAACUUCUUAAGGAAGCAAUAAAUGUCCCUUUGCGGUGGUGAUUUUUUUCAAACAGGCUAGGGAUUCAAGAGAAUAUUUUUAUCUGUUCGACCAACAUCAUGGCUAUGAUAACCGGACCAAGGUUCCCAAGGCUAUUGUGGCUCCAGAAGGAUGUGUUUUGCUCCUGUGGGUGACUGGAGUGUGCUCCCCUGACAGCAGCAGUCUUCCUGGGCCCGAGGUCGACUGACCUGUCUUCACUCAGCAGACAAAGGAGUAGGUGGGGUUGUGCAGACAGGAGGUCCCAGCAGCCGCAGCUGCACAGCUCCUGUUGUUUCCCCUUCCUCAGAUGGGAUUUCUUGCUGAUGCAAUUACCAGCCACUGUUCUGAGUGUAUUACAAGUAUGAACUUCGUGAUCACAAGAUCUUUCUGAGUUAGGUAACAUUAUUAUCCCCAGUUUACAAAUGAGGAUACUGACGGAGUUCAGAACACGCUACCCCAGAAUACGUCAUCUUGUCAUACUAUAUAUUUUAGACUUGAAGGAAAUUGAGAAAACCGUAAAAACAGAAGGUCACGCUCUGAUCUUCCCUCACCCUCUUUCCCCUGAAAUGGGCCAUUAAACCUCACUGACCUUCCCCUGAAAAUCGGUCGUAAAACUCUCAUUUCAGAAGGGCCCUCCCUAUACCCGGAAGAAAGGAAAGAAGACAAGAGAAGACUGAACAAACAGGCCUUGCUAAAUUCCACCCCCCACUCCCGCAGUCUAUUACCAUUAGACCGUAGCCUUUUGUCCUCCAGACAUACUUCCGUACAACUAUCCAUAAAAAUACAGAGCCCCCUCUUACUCAUGGAGAUACAUUCCAACAUCCCUAGUGGAUGCUUGAAACCAUGGAUAAUACUGAACUGUAUAUACACUGGGGUUUUUUCUGUACAUACAUACCUAUGACAAGUUAAAUGUAUAAAUUAGGCACAGUAAGAGAUUAACAGCAAUAACUGAUAAUAAUAUAGAAGAAUAAGAAAAAUAUAACUAAUAAAAGUUAUGGGAAGGUAGUCUCUCAAAACAUUUUAAUAUACUCACCUUCUCCUUGUGAUGAGGUGAAUACAUUGGACAAAGGGAUGUUUCACAUCCUAGGUGAAACUCAGAAGAGUGCAGAGUUUAAAACAUGAAUUGCUUAUUUCUGAUUCCAGAAAUUUUCCACUUAAUACCUUCAGGCCAUGGUUGACCUCGGGUGACUGAAACCAUGGAUUAGGGAAGACUACUACACCCAUAUUUCCCUGUUUCUUGAAGUCUUCAUUUCUGAAAGCUCCCUUGCCACAUAAAACUUAUAUUAAACAAGUUUGUAUGCUUUUCUAUUGUUUAUGUUCAUUUGUUUUUAGACUGGGUCUCACUCUGUUGCCCGGGCUGGAGUGCAGUGGCGCAAUCUCAGCUCGCUGCAGCCUUGACCUCCUGGGCUCAAGCGAUCCUCCCACCUCAGCCUCUCUAGCAGCUGGGACCACAGGCGUGUGCCACCACACUUGGCUAAUUUUUUGUAUUUUUUGUAGGGCUGGGGUUUCACCACAUUGCCCAGGCUGGUCUGCAACUCCUGAGCUCAAGCAAUCCGACCGCCUCAGCCUCCCAAAGUGCUGGAAUUACAGGCUUGAGCCACCGUUCCUGGCCUUUUCUCUUGUUAAUCUAUCUUUUGUUAUAGGCGUCUCAGCUGUGCACCUGAUGGGUGAGCAAAAUACUAUGUUUGCUCCCUACCACACAAAGCCAUGGGGAGGUGAAACAGUUUGCCUAAUGUUACUUAGCUAGUGAGUGGCAGAGGUGGGAUCAAUGUGGGCAGUUUAGCUCUGGACUCAACAUUAUGCUGAGGUCUGAACACCACUCCAGGGGAGAUAAUAGGUGAAUGUUUUGAGAAAAUGUAAAGGUCCUGAAAAACAUUGAAAUGAAUUUUUUUUCUGAAUUUUUUUUCCCCAAAAGAGUAAAAACAUUGGCCAGCACUUAUAAUCUGAGCAUGAGAUGUUCAUUAGAAUUAUAAUAUCUUGAUUAAGAAAUCAGUUAUAAACUGACAGUUUUCAGAUUAAAGAACUGGAAAUGUGAUCACGAAAAAUGAGGGAAAAUUUUCUACUAAAAAGCAUUUCAACGUUUUCCAAUGUGUUCUCUUUACAAAGGAAAGUAAUGGUGAGAGGCUUGUUCACCACUGAAAAGUUUGGAGAACUAAAACAUAAUUCAAAUUUUAUAAGGAUGGAGAUAUUCUGAAAAGUGGGAAGAGGCAAGCACUUCAAUAAGGGGCAGUAUCUCUGGGAGAUGGAAACGAACAUCCUCAGGAAAAAAAAGAGAGGGGGUUAAACAAGAACUCAAGGGAAAAUUGAGGAGCACCACUUGCAUUCUAAUUCAUUUCUCUUGAAAGAAUUCAUUAAUUUACUCAGGCGCAUGUACUAGUGACACCAGAACAAAUGAGUUUCUGCCCUAAGGAAUUCGUUACUGAAUGGAAAAAAUUCAGGGGGAUAAAGCAAGCUGUGGCCACCCACUGUGAUAUGCACUGUGAUAGAGUUAGGCUCAAAGUGCUGGAAGGUGCUUCAAAGUCAGGCAGUAUUAGAGCCUGGAGCCAGGACAACAUCUGGAAGAAAGCGAUGCCUUAGCAGAAUGCUGAAGAUUGGAGAAAACUUGGCCAGGCAAAUAUGGGGAAACAUUCCCAAGGAGGAGCAGAUUGUUCCAAGGCCUGAAGAAAAAGAGCUCACCUCUUGAACUUUCUACGGCUACAGCAGAGAGUGUGAGGUGGGCAGAGGGAGAGACGAGCCAGGGGACCUGGGGAGGGACUAGGUCGUGGAGCCUUGUGUGUCCCCUGUAGGGAUAUGGACUAAAUUGACAGCCCCAGGGAGCCUUGGUCACCAUUGUCCUUCCCUGUAGCUGCUGUGAUUGUGCCCCUGCGGGCCAUUUCCACAGAGCAGGAAGAAUGAACUUGAGAACAGAUAGACUGUUCUGUCAUGGUAUUUCCCAAGGCAUUUGGGGUAAGACUGGGGACAUGUUGCAUGGCCUACAAAGCUGUACCACAUCUGGCCCCUGCCUCCCCUUCAGUUCCACCCCAUACCCUCUUCCUCUUGCCAGGGACAUGUUCUUCUCUACAUCCUUCUCCUAGCUAGCUCUUGCUCAGUCUUUAGGUCUCAGCUCAAAACCAUCCUUGAUCCCCAAUCUAAUUUAAGCCCCUUGUUAUACAUUUUUUUUUAAUUGAGAUGAAAUUCACAUAACAGAAAAUUAACCAUUUUAAAGUACAUAAUUCAGGGUGGCAUUUAGUACACUCAGAUUGUUGUACAACUACCAUUUCUAUUUAGUUCGAGAAUGUUUUCAUCACACCAAAAUAAAACCAUAUACCCAUUAA